UGCCCUAUGGUCCCUGGGGAACAGAGUGGAUGGAGAGAAGUCAUCAAUGCCCUAUGGUCCCUGGGGAACAGAGUGGAUGGAGAGAAGUCAUCAAUGCCCUAUGGUCCCUGGGGAACGAUGGGCCUUCAGUUCAAACCACUUUAGACAUGGGCUGCAGCUCCCCAUCUUUCCUGGUCUGGGAGGUGAGUUUAUUUUCUUCACCUUGUGUUGAGGUUCAAAGUUAAGUUAAAUCCUUUUGUGCACUCUGGUAGAAAGGGAUGGUUCCGUCAGGCUGACACGCUCUCUGAACUCACUCUGGGCAUGGCUACUUACUAUACAAAGUUUAUAGGAGACAAAUGAUCUCAUGGCUCUUAAAAUCACAUUCCUAUCUUAACAAAAAUACUUAUCAUUUUUCAUAUUUAAUAUACAACAUAGAGGAUGGAGACUUCGUACAUGUAGUGGGUAUACUUUUCAAGUUACAGUAUUUCCUUUAUAACCUUUUUAAUGACAUCACAAACAAAACAAUAUGAAGUUAUUAUUCUUUAGAUCACCUCUGACCAUUCCCCACAUUCUUAUGGUAGGAAUAUUGUUCCAGUAUUCACUUUUUAAACAUGUUAGUUUCAGCAGGAAAGGUAUGUUAACAAAGAACAUUCCUUUGGUUAAUACUGGAGAGGGAGACCCUAAAUCUUUCACCUUGAUUUAUAACAGGGUGUGAGCUGUCAACCCAAAAUCAGCUCCCUUCUCCCCCAUCUGUGUGUGAGAGAGGGUCUGGUUACUGUCAUCCAUUGCCAAGCUGAUCUGACCCAUUCUGAUCCUCACAGGACAGUCAUGACAGUAGAGACAUCUGAUCACAUUUUUUACAGUCCAACUGCUCAACAUAAUCACACUAUUGGUAGAAUUAGUGUAAAAUACAGUAUAAUAAUAAACUUUUUAAAGUUAAAUUCGGCACUCCAUUUUUAUGAAAUACCAUCAGAACAUUUAAACAGAAAAAACUGCUUCAUUGUUCUGCUGUUUGAGCAGACCAUGAACUUGACAGAUCUGCCAUAAUGAAUGUCUUUGAUGUGCUAAAUAAAGAGAAUGGCUUAAUUACUAUUUCGCCACACUCACAUAAAACUGAUUUUAAUCACUUGUUGCUCUUAGAAGUACAGUAUUCAAUGCAAUUCAUUUUGGUUUUAUCUCUGUAAUUAAAUGUAUAUCAUUUAUGAACAGCCUAAAACAAAUGUUGUUUUAUUUUGAAAAUAUAAAAAAUAUAUUAUACCUGAGUAUCGCUGACUGCAGUAAUCUGUCAAUCCGAGGGUGUUUCUUCCGUGUUGUACAUAUAUCCUGCUAAUUAAUGUUGCAACAAGGGAUCUCUCCAGCUCACUCCUGGGGGGGAUGCAGGCUAAAGGCGGCCACAUAACAUCAGGGGGGCUGAGUGUAACCUCUGGCGGCAGGGAGAGAUUCAGAUGCUCAACCGUGAGUCAGAGUUAUAUCAUUAACACCAGACAGGGGAAGGUUACAGGGUCCAUGAUGAGCUAUUGGAACAGACUGUAACUUUCAUAUUGAUUUUAUGAUAUCCUCUGAUUGAUCCUUAGCGUUAUCACACCUCUGUGGCUGAAACUCUGAAGAGAAAAGCCAACCAGACACACACAGUUCCUGCAUAAUGGAGACCUGACUCCUAUGCCUCCUUAUUGCACAAUCCCACUUCUGACACCAACCUCCUUCAGAGUCAGGUGGGAUGGUGACUAGCUGCAUUAUGCUAGAAAACGUCAUUCACUUAACUGAAAAAGUCAAUUAGGUAUGUGUGAUUCCCAUUUCCCAGUUUGGAACCAGGACCAGGGGCUCUGCACUGGGGCCCACCAUCACCUUUGACCCCUGACCCUGUGUGUGUCUGUUAGUGUGUGUAUCCAAUUUAUGUUGUGUUCAAUUUCUAUAGUUUCCAAUAUCCGGUGUAUGUCGGUACCGGUUUCUGUUGUGACAAAUUAUUAUAAUGUAGUAUUGUACUGUACUGUAGACUCUGCCAACAGCUGUUGCUGUGAUUGAUAUCUCCCUGUACAAGGCCUGAGGCUCUAACAUCCAUGUAACAUGAGACUAUUUAUAGAGACCCUCAACAGACCCAUGUGUAACACAAAGCCUACACACACACACACCAUCCAUAUUGUCUGCAAUAUGUGCUCUCUCUCUCUCUAUGCGGGUUCAAGGCCAGUUCCCAUGGGAGAUGAGAAGGAUAAUGAUAAUCCAGGACACUGAUAGAGGAAGUGCAGAUGGAGGAGAGAAAUCAACCAGAAGUUCAGGUAUCUGAGGUCACAGGGGAAAUAAGCUGAUUGGUGGUAUUAGGAAGUUGAGAGUACUGUAUAUUGGCAGCCAGGCCUCUGCCACUGCCCCACGUCAGAGGUACUGGGCCAUGCGUCAUACGGUGACACCAUGUUGCGCAUGAGAGUCCCUGGGAUAUGCAGGGAAGCGGGUAGAGAGAGAGGGGAAGGGGGAGGGACAGUCUGUGUUGGGUGGCAUGCUACUCUCAAGAGGCACUUGGAGUUGGCCAGACAGACAAGGUAUUGUCUAGAAGGGAUACAGCUUUUGUAAAAAUUGACUUUUUGCAGCAGGUUUAAAAUAAUUUAUGCAGCAGGUUAGGAGAUUUGACGUAGCUAAGAUUAGGAAAAGGUUUCGGUUUAGCGAAAAUGCAAAACAAAUCUAAUUUUCACGUCAAAUUUGACAAAAGCUGCAUCCCAUCUAGACAUGACUGACAGACAGGCCUUAGUUGUGCAGUGAAAGGUAGCUAAUUAUAACUAGCUAUGCAAUGCAGUCUGACCUCAUUGUUUAUGUUGGUAUGACUAAUGCUGUUGUCGAAACACGUCCUAUUGAUUUUUUUAACCCGGAAAAUGUUGAGAGUAGUUCUAUACUGGAGUUAUUCACUGAUCUCAUUGAUUAUGACUCAGAGGGUGAGGGGAGCAGCUGUGGUUAGGGGAUCUAUAACAGUCCAUCUUAUAUUCAACACACUCUCCACUAAGAUAAAUGCUUAUGGAGAAUCAGUCAUUAGUUCUUUCUCAUUGCAGCAUGAGCAUGAUCUCCUAUUAAGGCUAUCGAUUCUACCUUUAGAAAGAUAUGUAUUUUCUAAAUCUUUGGGAUAGGAUUUCAGUGACAAGCCAGAGUGUAAAAGCUAGGAGUUUUAACUGAGUGCAACUGAGUCCUUUUUGAGCAGAGAACCGAGUCCGAUUUCCGCCAGCCACUAUGUGAUCUACAGAUGGAUUGAUCUCAUAGCAACCACAUCGCCAUGGCAACCUGGGAUACAGAUGCCACGCUGAGAGUCUGACGCACUGAGGGACUGGCAGGAACAACACUUAUAGCCUCCUCUCGUGUCCAUGUGUCUGCCACCCAGGCUUUCAUCUAAGUCUCCCCGGAGGAAAGGAGUGUUUGAUCAAAUUAAAUAUUAUCAUAAAAGGUCAUCAGAUUAUUGAGUGAAAUGUCAUCCCAGCAGAACACUGCUCUUCUCUCUCUCUCCUCCAUUGUGUGUGUGUACGUGUGUGUGUGUGUGUGUGUGUACAUACUGUUUGACUGAUACGUUCGAGUCCCAUACAGUACAUGUCUUUGUGUCACAAGUGGGGUGGAGGAGCAUGUGUCUUGUGUACUGCUGUUCUGUAACAUGUACACAAGUUUUACCAUUUGAAUGUUUUCAACCAGGUAGAUAUGUAAAACAGUGGCCAUAUAUAUUUAAAGGAAGAUGCAUGUAAUUUGUAAACACUAACCGAAGCCCCAGUUUCCCCUGCUCUACCUAACAACAACCCAUCCCUCUCAUUUCAGCAGACCUUCACUGUGCGUGACUUAAAGCGUGUCCGUUUCACGAGAUUCAAUUUGUGCCAGAUAGGACAAGCAGUGUUCAGACCACUCACGUAAUGUUCUGACCACUCGUGUAACGUCAGUGUAACCUCACAGUGGUCCGCAUAGGGCCGCUGAAUGAAACAUUUAGAGUGGCACACACACAGAGAGAUUAGACUGUUGUUAUGGUGUUCUGAUUCCAUCCUACUCUGGGACAUGUGUUGCUGCUGUGGUUCUGGAAAAUUGAUUGUUUGUCCGUCCCCUCAAACAGGGCCAGCUCUUCAGAGGCCCCUUGUCAUUACAUUUACAUGUUUCACUUGAUUCUGUAGUGAAAACAUUUUUCUUGUAUCAGUUUGUUGGUUUGGCUUCAGUUGAUUGGUGUACAUUCCUGCACAGAUGGCCCGUGCACACAGUCCCGUGCACACUGUCCUGGAGUGCUCUGAGAUGUCCCAGAUCUGUGAGCAUCACUCUGCUAUGACUCCAGUCACCUGAUGUUCAGCCUCUGGUUCUGUUCUACCCACAGAUAGUGAUGCUGUCACUGCCUCUGGUGGGUCAGGGUGGGGGAGAGGAGAGGUCUAUAAGCUCAUCAGACUAAACUACAUAUUUUACAUCCCCUACCUCUCCAAAUGACAAUGAUUUGCGCAUACAGAGCACUGUUCCUCAAACUCAAACGACGUUAUAUCGAAUUAAAUCUUCCCCCAACAGAAUGCUCUUUUUCAACAGAAUGCUCUCCACUGAUUAGCUGAGUGAGUGGCAUGGGCGGGGGGUUUGGAGUGUUGAAGGGAGUUGAUUUGAGUUCACCCUCUCAGCUGAGACCAUGGGAAUGUGGUUUUCUAGAAACUCAGAGACCGAUACUAAUGGAGCCACUGUUCAGCAGGAGGAGCUGUGACAAAGAGUUUAAAUACAUUUUAUGACUUCAAUUAUCUUAUUUAGAUGUGUUGUGAUGAUGAUUCUUCUGGAAUAGCUACAAAGGGGUCAAAGUAGAAAGCGAGAAGCGUAAAUAUGAGCAGAAACAUUUGACUGGUCAGCAGACGGAGACCGACAGACGUCAGUCACGGUUCAUUCAGUUUAUCAGUGGAUUCAGUGGUUUAUCAAUGAUUCUGUGGAAAACCCCUUAAUCUAAGCUAAGUAAUGUUCAGCAAGUGAGUUGACACGUUUACCAAAAACAAUGGUGUAACCUUUUUGAUGCUAUGUGAGGGUGAAAUAGCACACUUAUUAUGGGGUCAUCACGAGCUACAUGAAACUGCAACUACAACUCAAACACAUAAUUGAAAACGUUUGAAGGUGGCUGGCUGGUGGGUAUAGUAGGUCAGCCAUGUUCUCCAUGGCACUAGAGAAGAAGAGUGAACCCAUCACAGCCAGAUACUCUGCUCAGAGCUCAUUAAAGGUAUGCAGACUACUGGGAUUCCUCCUUGUGAUAACUGUCCUUUCUAGUCUCUGGUCUGCUGUAAUACUCUGGUCUGCUGUAAUACUCUGGUCUGCUGUAAUACUCUGGUCUACUGUGUAGUAAGGAGCAAAUGUAAUAGUUUCUAUCAAAUUAAUAAUUUAAAUUAAAUGUCCCCCUCUCUCAAUAGAUGUUCAAAUCAAUGAAUCGCUUUUUAAUAUCAUGAUAUGUAAUCAUAGCUUUCUUUUUUAUUUUGAUAUUAUUCAGCUUUUUGAAGAACCUGCAAAAGUACUGAAUGAUUGAUAAAGGAAUAAACAACCAACGUACUGCUAUUGCUUUGGUGUUUUAACUGAAUGUUUUAAAUGAUCUAAGUAAUUCAUUAAAUCAAUCAAUAAAUCACUAAAUGAAUGAAUCAACCAGAGACAGUGGAGUUCACCGGGGUCAGAGAGGGUAUUGUAUGUCUAUAAUUCACUUCAAUAAAAUGGACCU